rnacentral:rRNA from 1 species
CCUACGGGAGGCAGCAGUGAGGAAUAUUGGUCAAUGGGAGAGAUCCUGAACCAGCCAAGCCGCGUGAGGGAAGACGGCCCUAUGGGUUGUAAACCUCUUUUGUCGGAGAACAAAACCCGGGACGUGUCCCGUACUGCGUGUAUCCGAAGAAAAAGCAUCGGCUAACUCCGUGCCAGCAGCCGCGGUAAUACGGAGGAUGCGAGCGUUAUCCGGAUUUAUUGGGUUUAAAGGGUGCGUAGGCGGUCCGUUAAGUCAGCGGUAAAAUUGCGGGGCUCAACCCCGUCGAGCCGUUGAAACUGGCAGACUUGAGUUGGCGAGAAGUACGCGGAAUGCGCGGUGUAGCGGUGAAAUGCAUAGAUAUCACGCAGAACUCCGAUUGCGAAGGCAGCGUACCGGCGCCAGACUGACGCUGAGGCACGAAAGCGUGGGGAUCGAACAGGAUUAGAUACCCUAGUAGUC